AACAACACGGAGCCCCUUCAAGCCCUCCCUCGCAGCACGUACACUUUCACUUUCACUUUCUUUGUCUUAAAUAAUCUCCUCUUCUCUCUCUCUCUCUCUCUCUCUCUCCAAACGGACAUAACUAUGGUUCAAUUGAAUUAACCUCAUCAAACCUCACCUCUUCUCUCCCUCUCUCCCUCUCUCUCCUUCCUCAUGCUUUCUUAUAUUUUUUUUGGCUAAUCUUGUUACUUUAAUCCCACCGCCCACUCCACACAGUCACCAAUAAUACUACUCUGUUCUGCAUCAUCCCUCAAGUUCCCAUUUCAAAAGAUAAUAUUUUGAUUAGUGGUUAUUUCUCUUAUUUUCCUCUUUCUUUGUCUUUCUCUCUUAAACUUGAAAUAUAAUUAAUUAAGGGGAAGGAAAGAAAAAGAAAAGAAAAUUAAAGGGUCUGUCGGUGUUGUUUGAUUGACCUUGAAUCUAUCUGGGAAAGAGGCUUGAAAAUACCGACAGAGUAAGAUAGAUAGGGUUUAAAGCCAUUAGAGGUCCCUACAAAUUCAAGAUGAUGAUGUUCGAUGAGAUGGGAUUUUGUAGUGAUAUGGAUUUCUUCUCUGCGCCUUUUGGAGAAGAUGUGGCUGCUCCGCAAGCUGAGCCGGAGCCUACUGUGGAGGAUGAUUAUAGUGAUGAGGAGACUGAUGUUGAUGAGCUUGAGCGCAGGAUGUGGAGGGACAAGAUGCGUCUUAAAAGG